rnacentral:snoRNA from 1 species
GAAAUCAUACUAUACAGAAUCAUUUCUGUAGUGUGUAUUUCGUGAUCCCAACAAAAGGGCGAUACCCGUCCACCGCGAUGAACGGGAGACGGGCGAGUCGCGAGCGGGAAGAACGCGCUUCUGCGCUGAGGACCGUUUCCUGGUCGCAAGACCGGGACAGCGACUCGCUCUUCUGAGCGG